GGUCACAAAAUCACAGCAUCAAGUCGUUUGGAAAAAAAAUCUCUGACCGUAUCCAGUCCAGCCUAUGACCCAACACCACCACUGAGUGCCACGUCCAGUCUUUCCUUCCACAUCUCCAGAGACAAUGGCCCCAUCGCCCCCCUGGGCAGCCCAUUCCGAUUCAUAAUGACCCUUUCCGUGAAGAAAUUCUUCCUAACCUCCAGCAUGAGCCUUCCUUGGCACAUCUUGAGACAUUAAUCCAUUAGCGAGUGUCCAAAGGAGGGCCUCAAGGACAAUGAAGGUUCUGGAGGGUGGCUCCUCUGUGUGAGGGCACUUGGCCUGUUCAGCCUUGAGGAGACUGAGGGGAGACCUCUCUGCAGUUCCCCAUGAGAGGCAAAGGACAGGCAGGCACUGAUCUCUGUGACGGGACCUGAGGGGAUGGCAUCAAGCUGUGUCAGGGAAAAACUUUUUCACCUGAGGGUAGUUGGGCAGUGGAACAGGCUCCCCAAGGACGCAGGCCAAGAAGCUUUUGGGCAAUGUUCUCAGGCACAGGGUGUGAUUCUUGGGGUGCCCUGUGUAUGGCCAGGAGUUGGACUCCAUGAUCCUGGUGGUUCCCUGCCAGUUCAGCUCAUACUGUGAUUCUGUAAUUCUAUAUCUCCUCUUCCUGUCACUGGCUGCCUGGGAAAAGAGACUGACCCCCAGCUACGCCCUCCUGUCAGGGAGCUGCAGAGGUGAUAAAGACCCCCUGGGUUUCCUCUUCCCCAGGCUAAACACCCUCAGCUCCCUCAGCUGCUCCUCACAGGAGAUGGAUCCCAGACCUUUCACCAGUUCCAUUGCCCUUCUCUGAAAUUGCUCCAGCACCUCAAUCUCCUUUCUGGACUGGGGGGCUCAGAAUUGGACACAGCACUUGAGGUGCCUCACCAGUGCCAAGUACAGGGCAAGGAUUAUUUCCCUAAUCCUGCUGCUUUUAUUAUUAUUGAUCCAAGCCAGGAUACCAUUGGCCUUCUUUUCCACCUGGGCAAAUGCUGUUGUCUCAUGUUCAGCUCCUAUCAAACAGUCCCAGGUCCUUUCCCACUGGGCAGCUUUCCAGCCAUUCUACCCCAAACCUGGAGCUGCAGGAGUUGUUGUGACCCAGGGACCCUGGCACCUGGCCUUGUUGAACCUCACACAAUUGGUCUAUCCAUCCUGCCUGUCUAGAUAGUCACAGGUCAUGAGUGGGUACAACAGAGCAUGGUUCACCCACUGGUCACAAAACAGAUGGUUUUGUACAGAGCAUGGUUUUUGAGGAGUGAACUUGCAUGACUCAGGACCCCAUAAAAAUCCUGCAGUGGCUCCCAAGCAGCAGUAGGACACAAACAGGCAGCUGCCAUCCCUCACCCCAACAUGUUGUUCUCACAUUCUCCGCAGAUGUGUGGUGUAGUCACACCAGAACAUACUAUUUCCAGCCUUCCUGCCAUUCCCUGGCUUGGCUAAGGGUGAAAAAUGCUUGCAGAAGUGUAGAGACCUAUCAACCAGUAAACAUGAGCCAUCACCUGUUCCUUAGUCAUUAUUUAAUGAAUAAUGUAAAUAAUAUUCAUUAAAAAAUAAAGAAAUAAAAAUAACAGUAAUUGUCCAGGAGGAGGAUGAGCCAUUUCUACUUGGCAUUUCUUUCAUCCUUCUGCGCAUGGCAGGGCUCAGGCCACCUCACAGAGGCACCUGCUCUUUGAACAAACAGGUUGGAUGAUGUGUCCCAUCAUCCCUGUAUCACUACACUGCUUUAACCUUCUUCCUUGCCCCCAACAGCUCGCAGGCUUUCCCAUCCCAAUGACAACCCUGUAGACGUGGGUGACCACUGGAUCAAUCUCCUGCGUUUUCCAAAGCCGUGGACUUUCCCAAAGGCACAGGAGUGACAGCCAGGGCCCUUUUGUCGGUGGGAGAUCAUGCAGCUGGGGCAGCCUGCACAGCAGGGGGACUUUGAAGCCUCUCCCUGACUCUUGGCAGCCUUGGCUCUGGCUCCUUCUCCAGACCUGGCACCAGGAAGGAGAGCAGGAAGCAGAUGGUUUUCCCCAAACUCCAGCUGCUCCCAGGACAAAUUUGCUGUUUCCCAGUGAAAAGCAAGGCACCCCUUGUCCCUGAGACUGCUCUGUUUGCCUUCUCCUGCCUCUUGAGCUUCCCCAGAGUUGCCCCUGUUACCCUCUCCAGAGGUGCCCCAGCUCUGUCAGUGGUACCUGGACCAGGGCUUUUGGUUGCCUCCAAGCUAUAAAAUACUCCAGCCCUUGCAAAAUGCCAUCUCACCCUGAAGAAUGUCCCUGUGGGGACUGGCAUCAAUUUUUGCAUGAAGCUGAGAUGAGUUCUUGCUCAGUGCUACCAGGAUAAUACAGAGGAACAUCCCUUGUCCAUCCGGACUUGACUGACUGCUGAAAUAAAGUGUGUGCUCCCCUACAGGGACAGGUCAGUCACUGGAACUGGUCAGUGGCUGUGGCUCACUCUUCACCACCUUGGACUGAGCUCAGAUUCACUGAAAGCUGCUUAAUACAGCUCUCACUUCCUCAGCAGGAGGCUGGAGGGCUGGAUCAUGAAACACUUUGUAAGAGAAACUCCUUGGAGACUGGGCAGUACCAUGCUCUGUGUGUUUUCUGAUGGAAGUCUGAUCCCAUGUUCUUUUUAUUUAUGUCAGUGGAAUAGAACAGAAAAUAAUUUAUUAUUUCUGUUAGAAGGGACUACAGCAAUCAUCCAGUUCAACUGCCUGAUCAAUUCAGGGCUGACCAAAAGUUCAAGAAUGUUGUUCAGGGCAUUGUCCAAAUGUCCCUUAAACACUGACAGGCUGAGGGCCUUACUAGGAUGCCUAUUCUCUCCAGUCACUCUGCAAAGAAAUGCUUCCUGAUGCCAAGUCUAAACCUCUGCUGGCACAUCUUUGAUCUAUUCCCACGUGCUCUAUCACUGGAUAUCAGGAAGAGCUGAGUACUUCCCUUCCUCAGGAAUCUGUAGAGAGCGUUACCUUGAAUCCCCUUUCUCCAAACUAGACAAGCCCAAAAUCCUCAGCUGCUCCUCAAAAGACAUUCAUCCAGCCUUUUCACCACCUUUGUUACACUCCUCAGGACAUAUUAAUGGAUCUUCACAUGCUUCUUAAAUUGUCUUUAGUUGAUGGACAUAACACAUGCUGUGACUUCUGUGCUGAUGCCAACCAGCAAAGAUCUGCUCUUUUAAUAGGGCAUCUCAGCUUGCUGGUAAAACAUGGAUUUGCUCAUGCUUGGAGAAAAAUGUACUGGAGCCAAGCUCUUUUGGUACUGUACUGCCCUCAAAACAUCUUUUCUUGCAGCCAGCCUCCAGCACAGGCUUUGUCUGAACCUGCCUCAUGCUGGAAGAGAUGGAAGAAGCAAACUUUGGAGUUAUUCAGGAUUCAUCUCUUCCUGAUGCCUGUCUUGAAUGUUAAUGUAUGAUGUAAUCAUGCAAGGCAAAAAGUAAAGCAAGCCCUGGUGUAUUCAAGAGAGCAGACUGCAAAUUUUCCACCAGGUUUGCUUUUAGAAAAGAUACUGGUCUUUUUCCCUCUGAUUUUUUUCCCUUUCCUGCAAAAACAUUCAGCACUCAAAGAAAAUAGAAACUGUUGAAGUAAGAGAGCAUUUUGUGCUGCCUGGCAGCCCCCUCCAAGGCUCCUGCUUGCAUUUCUGCCUGUGCUUUCAGGGAGGCUCAGCUGUUUUGCCUGGUGUCCUGUUCCCCUGAACCCAGGCUGCCCUGAGGCUAGCAUAACUUUUUUGAUUUUUCAUAUGGCAUUUCUUCCCUCCAAUCACCUCUGAUAUAUCAUAAUGAAAGGAUGAAGCCUUCUCCUCCUCCAGCUGCUCUCCUGUGGACGGCCACAGCUCACCUGCAAGCAGGGCUUUACAUGGGGUGUGCUCUGCCACAAACAGUAUUGUUUCUUCUUAUAUUUUAUUUUAUUUUCACCUGAAUGAAUCAGUUUGUUCUUUGGGGUCACAGAACAAGAAAUAGUCUGAUGUGAGAACAUGGGUCUCCGGGAAGGACAAGUCUCACUGGGAGAGGAGGAGGCUACACAUACCAUUAAUCCAGUCCCCAGCAGCAGAACUUGUCAUUGUCAAGGUGCCACCAGUGUAAUAGGUUAAAUCUGACUUGAAAACUUCUAAGUCCCUUGCCUUGUUAUUAUCAGCUGGUUUUAAUAUCUCUCUUCCUCGUUUAUUUCUUUCUUCCUGCGAGCUGUGUUCACAAAGGAUGACAAACUGAGAGUUAACUCCUCUGCUUAGCAACAGCAGAAGCAUUUGAAAAUGCAAACCUGUCUUGGUGUCACAUUAGAGGGUUACUGCUCCAUGAGCUGUCAGAGAGAGAGGACAAGAGGUGGGAAGAUGUGGGAGUGCCUGUGUGACUCCAUUCUCAGGACAGAUUUCUCUCAUGUGAUACUUUUCACUGCUCUAUCUAAUUUCUUUCCUGAGUGGCUCAAAGGAUGAGAUACCUGCUCCUUCUGCAAGAGAACUGGAUUCACCUGGGAUAAAAGCCAAUACCAUCAACACCUUUUCCUCUCCUCCUGCCUCUUCCCUACUCCUGUGCUUUGGUGAAACAUCAGCAGGGAUCCUGGGGACUCUAGGCUGGACUUUAACACCUUCUUACCCCCAGCAAGUCACAUGGUGAAGUGAUGAAGAAGAUCAGGGAGGCGGUAGGAAUUCUGCUUAGUCUACAGCUACCCCACCAGGAGCCCUUUGUAACUCAAAGAACAAGCAGCUAUUCCUUGGGCUGUACUGAAACAGAGCAGGACACCUGGAGGUCCACUUCAUCACUGUCCUGCCCCAGAGCUGGUCCUAAACAGCUUAAGAUGUAUUUGUCCAACCAGUUCUUUUGUAUUUGUCCUUCAGACUGCCCAAAAUGGAAAUUCACGUGCUCCUAGGUCAAUGUGGUUUAGCUCUGGACUCUGCUCCUCUACCUCUUACAGACCUCAUAGAUCCCCCCACUGCCCAAAUUUUACCCAGUUUUUUCUUGCUAAGACCACUGUAGGGGUAUGGAAGACAGAGAGAUGGCCAAGAUUAUUUCCUCUGUCUCCUUCCUGGAGUGCCAUUGCCCUGGGUGCAAAUCUGCAGCUGAGGCCACAGAGGUAUUGGCGGCCCAUCAUCCCCACAGCAGCAGCACACAUUACCCAUGGGACAAGGGGAAAUAGCACCUGGGCUUUGCAGGCUUGUUUUGUUGCCCUGGAGGGGCAAUAACAGAGGAAUUUGGGGUUACUUCUUUUAUUUACACUAGAUACCUCACUCCCAGACCAGAUGACAGACAAGCACCAUCAUGGUGGAUCUCAGCCCUGACACAAAUACCCUGAUGCCAAACAAAUAUUUCCCCAUAAAACUCCCUGAGCAUUUAGUGAGGAAAAUCAAAAUGUGAUUAUUUGCUCUGCUACCCAAGUGAACAAUGCAUUAUUAGUGCAUGGGGUGAGUUUCACCUCAAAAAAAACCCAAAAAACCCCAAAGAACAGUAGCACAAGUGCCCUCACCUUCACAUUGACACUUAGAUAGGUUCCUCUGUCUGGGGAGCAGAGCAUCAGAGUACUCAAGGGAAGUAAUUGUCAAUCCUUGAGAAUAAAAAUCUGUCCACAAUUCUCCUUCUGGCUUUCUUUCACCUAAAAAUGGGGCAAGCUCAUCCUCAGGCAGAACUCAUCACAGGGAUGAAAAGAUGCUUUUGAGCAUCAGUCAGCAGCAUCUGGGUUAACAGGAGCCUCCUACAUCAAAGUAGCCAAAAGCAGAGUAAUGCAAAGUUUGGGAGAUUCAGAGCAAAGGAGAAGAAAAGUGAAGAGAAAAACAGAUCUUUAGUGGAGUUUUUUCUUUCCCCCUGUUUUGAUUUGGCCUUUUUUCUGCUUGUUUUCAUUUGAAUAAAGUUGGCUUUACUCUUUUUUUUCUUUUUCUUUUUUUUUUCCUUUUGACUCCAGUUUGCUCUUUUAAAAUGGAUGAAGUCCAUCACAAGGGCUUGAUAAAAGAAUGCUGUCACAAUGCCUGCUGCUCCCAUUCAGCUGAUGAAUAAAUUAUAAGUGCAUUACAAUACCAUUUCAGCUGUGAUUCCAGGGCCUAAGGAGUGUGACGACUGUGACCUUAGUGGUUUGAAUUUCCAAGAGUUUGUGUACCUGGCUGUUCAGGUCACCUUACACCUUCCAUUCUGGGCUCAGUGUGCAGAAUAUCUGAGCCUUUUCAAGCUGCCAGCUACAGGGACAGUCCUCCAGCUGCCCACAGUGGUGGUGGUAUGUGCUGUGGUCUUCAGUGAUUCGUGAUCUCACAGAAUCAUAGAAAAUGCUGAGUUGGAAGGGACCCAUCAGGAUUCUGUUGAAACCUGAAGUGACUGUUACCUCCGCCAAAGCAGCAAUCUGUGGAACGUAAUUCUUUAUUGAUGGGGCUUUGACUGGGAUAUCCAUAUUGUUCAGUCCCAGGAGUAGUUUCUGUGUUGGGAGCUGGAAUUUUAGGUUCUUCUUGGUGCACAAGACAUCCCUGUCUCCAGCAUUCUGGUGUGGCUGAGGUGGCGUGGAUGCCACCACCACUGGGAUAAGGUAGCAUGGGGUGUGGUCUGGGAGAGACAUCAGCCUAGGCCAACAUCCCCAGUGUUUUGCCUUCACCUCACCCACAGGCUCAGCUCUGUGGGAAUGUCCAUCCCUUGAGAGUAGGUGACCAUCAAGGAGGGACUAACAGCCAUCCCCCCUUUUCCUGGGGAUGAGCCAUCUCUGUUAGGCAGGCAUUGGCAACAGAGUGAAGGAGCUAGAGUACACAGAACAGCUGCCUGGUGCAUUCACCAGACCCUGCUUUUACCCUCAGAGUAGGCAGCUCCUUGUAUUUCUGCAGAAGCCAUGGUGGGGACAGAUAGCAUUUUGCAGAAGGUGAGUGAGGGGGAGGAGGAAGCUCUCUGGUCCCACACCAUUUCUGGCUUGGGGGCACCAACACCAUGUACUGUGCUGAACGGCAUGAUGUCAGCUGCUGCCAGCAAAGCUUACAAUGCUCUCACACGCUGCCAUACCUUGGGUGGUCUCUGUGGGCUGGUCUCCAGCAGCAAUGCACUCACCUUCUGCCAGUAACUAAAAUUCAAGCUGAGCAAGGCAUAGAUGAAGAUGCACAGCUCAUAUCCUGCCUGAGGCCUUGAAAACUGACCACAAGAAGACUUUCCAUUAGGAAACAGGGAGGGCCAAGUGAGUUUAAUUGGACCUUGCUUUGCUUGAGGCUGAAUUAGGCCUUUUUGUCACUCUUCCCGCAUUAAAUAUGAACAGAGCCAGGGAAGAAAACCAAACUGCAGAAUAAGCACCAAGUCCAAGGCAUGGCCAGCAGGCUUGGGUGGCUGAAUAGCAGAGAGAACCUCUUGGGUGAAAAGGUCCAGAGAGGGUUAGGGGCAGGAGAUCCUCCCUUAGCAUCUCCACCUCCAAUUUCCUAACAAAGAGAUGCUCCUGGGAAAAACUGCUUGUAGGGCUUGUGUGCCACAUGCAAGGUCUCACUCUGCUGUGUCCACUGGUAGGUUGUGAGCUCUGGAAACUGCUUUGUGGUGGGGGUGAAGCAGAAUAGGGCAGGGGAACACCCUUGCACCAAUCCUGAAAACUGCUCUGGGCAUUCAUAUCUGGAAAGGAAGAGGCUGAACUUUCCAGCAGAAGCCUGAAUCACUGGGAGGGUAAUUGAUGCAAAUUUCCCAGACAGGUGAACAAGUCUGGAGAAGCCUUUCUGCCUGUCCUGAGCAUGCUGAGAGAUGCUCUCAUCUCCACCCCGGGGCUUGCUGUCCAUGGAAAUUUGGAAAAAACAUCUAUGGGGUCUUAAAAAAACAAAUAGAAAACCACUGAGUUCACAAAGCUGAAAUCCUCCAGCACUGUCCACGUUGGAGAGCAGUGCUCACACACCCUCUUGGAGAAGGAAGGGAUGGGAGCCAGCAGGGCCUGUUCAGGGCUUUGAUUCUCUUCCUCUUGGCUCCACCAACUGCUCUACAUUCUUGUCCCCUCCAACCACCCCUUGCUGGUUACCCCAUUUCCAUCAGCACCCUGCUGCAGACCUUGGGGCAACCACAGUUGUAUUCCUGCCUUGCUUUUGUGACUGAGGCUGGAGGGCUCAGACCUGCAAAAGGGUCCCUGGGGCACACGGACAGGGUAGAGCAUGGCUGUGCCCUGCAGGUGCUGUCCCUCAAUGCUUUGUUGUGCCAACAUCUUGAUCCCCAUCUACAGCUGCCUGUAGGGCUAGGUAUAUCUCCUCCAGACUUGUUUACCUGCUGUGAGAUUUCCAUUAAUUAACCUCAUGCUUCUCCAUCCUGCAGGGAACCUGUUGGCUGCACCAACCUGAAGGUCUCAAUCCAUGGCAGCUUUGGCACAUCCCAUUUCCUUGUCCCUUCUGGCACAUCUUAGAUCUUCUGCCUGGCCUCUAGGAUGGGUUUUUUCCCUCUUCUGACCUUCAGCUGAGAAUUCAAGGGCAGAAAGGGUGCAGAAAGGGUGCAAAAAGAGCCAACAGCCAUGUUUGUGUCUGGAUGUACAUCAGGGACAGUCCAUUCCGCAUUCUUCCCAUUUUAAAGAUGGAGAAAGCUCUGAUGCUGUCCCAAACAAUAAGUGGUGCUGCAGGGAAGGCUUUCAGCUGGGUGAGCUGCCUGUAGUCUGGUCCUAUGGGUCUGCAUCUCCUUAUCUCCAAGACAAUCAAAGGCCCUUACUUUGCCUUUGCCCUGAGGAAGUUAAAAAACCUGUGAAUGUACUUGCCAGUGGUCAAAAAGUACCAAAAAGGUCCAUUCCUCAUACAGCUCACAGGACAUCUUGACCGUGAAGACCAUGGAGAUACUGCACAAACUUUCAAAGUCUGAUCUUGCAGCUAAGUCUGGGUCAGCUGGGAUGAGCUGUGCCUGCUAGAGGUAUGUAUUGCUUUGAAUAUUUUCCCUUUUUAUCUAAUUUUCCUUCACAAGAAUGAAAAAGGAGAUUUGGGAAUUCUCACUGCUAGGUCAUGGUUUCCCUCUGCCUUCACUUUAUCUCAUGACCUUCAGGGUUGGUUUCUUGGCUUGAGAGUCAGCAGCUGCUGCUCUAUCAAGGCACUGCACUAAGUGAUUCCCCAGACACUGUCUUAUCUCCAAGGACCUGCUUGCACAGGUCCUGAUAGGCACUAUCUUCUGUCCCCACCCAUGCUGCUGGGGGCCACGUGUCCUGUCCCCCCCAAACCUCCAGGAAGUGCUUGGCACAGCACAGCAGUGAGGUCUUGGGGCAGAUUCGCCCAGGUAGAUAACAAACUUGUCAUGGCCAGCACAAAGUUUCAGUGCUUGGUGCUUCUCUAUUCCGGAAUCUAGAAAUAGCCCACAAGGACCCAUCUACCCCAGCACUUCUCUUCAUGUAAGGCCACCCCUGGUGUAAGGACAAAUGAUACUUCCCCAGAAUAUUUCCUCAAUGCCCAACCAUUUUUUUGUGACUCAGACUCCCUGAGCCAGAAGUGUUCUUAUACAUAAUAGCCUUCAAAUUUUUCUCCCAUUAAUUUGUUUGGUUAUUUUUGAAGGCAGAUAAAUUUUAAGCAUUUGCAACAUCCUGUACCUAACAGCUGCCCAAUCUAAUUAUCUGUUUGGGUGCAGAGUAAUUUUCUUGGGGCUUGUUUUGAUCCUGCCGCCUCAUAGCUUUUUUUGAUGCCCUCAUCCUCACAGUGGAGAAAACAAUAAAUGGUCCUUUUCUGUCCAGCCACACUCUGCCUCUUGUAUCUUUGCAGCCUGUACUAUAACCUUUCCUGUGGUGUCUUUUUGUUGCAGAAGAUUCCCAGCGUACACAGCUGUUCCUCCCCUGGACACAGAGACCUUGUAGUUCUAUGACCAUCUGAAAAUUGUUUCCUUUUGUUUCCACUCCUUUCAUAAAAAGCUCAGUGAGUCUUGGGUACAAUUCUACAGAUUGUUUAAAAACAAACCAAAGGGAAAUUCCCCAAAAUGAGAUGCCCACCAUCUGCCAGGUGACUUCAAAUUGUCCCAUGCCCAUACUUUCUUCCCUGGAUGUUGCUUCUAUCCUCACACAGACUGCAAGACCUGCUUCCUGUGGUAUCUAUCUGUGUUUCCUCCCACACCAGGCAGAGGGGAAGCAAAGAAAACCCCAAAUGGCAGCAGGGUCAUUCAUGGUCAGCAUAAAACUUGGUACAAUAACCAGCCUGUUUCAGGACAGAGGCCCAUCUCCCAGGGGGCAAUAAGGUCUUUUGCCCAUGGCUCGGUAAUGCACACAGGGCAGGAUGAGGUAUCAUUCACCUGGGAGGCAUGCCUGACAUCCCUGGGUUUUGGGACUUUUGGAUCCGCCUGAAUGUUAGAUAGCAUUAAGCCUUCAGCUCUCUGUGCAGAUGUCAGCACCCCCAGGAGGCAUCUGGUCUCAGCCCGUGUUCCCCUGACUCGUCUUGGGGUAUGUCUCUCCUGACUUUCUAAGCCAGGACAGGUAACUCUUACUCUUUGAGAUCAAACAAGGCUAAAGGUCAGCAAAGAUUUGCCAAGAUUCCCCAAAGCUGAUGCCCAGUUUUUAUUUUGGUGGAAGAACCCGUAUAUAGAGCUCAAAGGUGUCUUCUCCUCUGGGGAAGAAGAUGAAUCUGACCUAAGCAGAUGAGAGCUCUGGCUCACAGAGCAGCCUUGCAGGGGCUUUAGGGGCCAGGAAAGAGGGGUUCAUCCCAGCCCAAAGCCAGAGUGCUUCCCCCUUCCAGCCGAAAGCACACCAUGGGAUGAGGCGAGGCCACAUGCUGGGGACUCAUCUCAGUGCAAAAGAAGGAUUCAAUAUUCACAGAGUAAGUCUUUAGCAAGGUGUUCCAGGAGCGGCAGAGCUUUGAAGCUGAUUUCUGAUAGCACCAUCUUUGGUGGACCCUUGAGUGGCUAGUAAUGCAGUUCAGAGUGCCUCACUAUCUUCCUCCCCGCAGUGGAAGACUUGGUCCUUCUCCUCCACCCACCUGAGCUGCCAAAUUCCACAAAACAGCUCUGAAGCACCUGCAUCCGGAGGUGAGGCAGCCCUUGUGGGCUGAAAAUCACAAACUAGGAGGGAUGUGGCAGAAACACAGUCAACACAGUUGCUUAAUCUCUGUUUCUAUGAGAAGCAAAUGCAAAAUGGAGAACUGUGAGGGAAUUUCCUGAAUGCUCUUCCUGAAUUCCUGAAUUUGCAUUCCAGCGAAGUCCUCCACUGCCUUGCCUCUGCUCCCCAUGAGGUGAAUAAGUAUGUAACAUACCUGUCUUGAAGAGUCAUUGGAGGUGGGGGGGGGGGGGGAGUGUAAACCAAAGAAUAAAAAAGGCCAGAGCUGUUAAAUCUGAGUCAGGUGUGCUUGAAGAUUUUAAUUAAUCAAGUUGUCAUCAUCAUCAUCACCACCAUCACGUCUGCUGACGUUUGCUCAGCAAUAUGCAAGUUGGGUUUGGAAAGGCGGGGAGGGCGCUCACAUUGCCAGGAGAUUUGGCACUCAGAGGUUUAAGCCACAAAUAAAUAAAACUCACAUUUGCAUGUUCCUGGCUUUCUCCACUCCCUCUCGUCUCAGGAGCUGCCCUGAAGACUGAUUUUUUUUCUGUUGUGGCUGGGAAACAGAGCACUUUUCUACUGCAGGAAGAUUGCCGAGGGGUGCCUUGGUGGGACAGGCAAGGCAUACCAACUCAUCACUGAUAAAACAUGACAAGACUUCAAGAGAAAAGGGAAUUUUUCCUUUCCUUCAGUGUCUCUAAUGUGAUUUUUAGAGACUACAAGUUGUUUUUUACUACCAGAAAAAAAAGGAAAAAGGUUUCUCCUCCUUGUUGCUAUGUGUAAAUCCAGCCCAGCAACAGACAGGAAAUAAGGUAAAUUUUCUCUCUUGCCUGUUGCAUAAAGCAAACAAAGAAACCAGAGAAUAAAAACAAGGCACACAAAACAAUCUAUGCGAGAUGCAAAUUGGUAAUUUAAGAGGAGGCAAAACUGCCAGUACAUUUCAAAGCAUACCAACUUCCCAUUAGUUCUCUUUGUGUAAUUCAGAUCACCACAGUUUUCAGAUAAAGCUGCCAGAGACUGACUUCAGACAGUAAAAAUCCGUCUCUCCCUCUCUGCCUCUGACAUAUAUGUAUGAUUUAGUUAAGCUUUGCUUGUUUUUUUCUUCAGACAGGGUGUCUAACACACUAUCCCAGCAUUUCACCUGUGGCUGUUGUACCAUCCUGUGAACCUCAGCGUUGCCCUUAUAAAGCCCUGAAGCUGCGGCUUCUGCUGGUGGAGGGAGGAUGUAAAGUACUUUCUAUGUCCCAGUGCAGAUGGAUGAGACUUAAUCAACCAGGUGAGACUUCACAAUCAUCCAUCCAAGAAAAGAGUGGUGAUUGAACCUCAUUUUAAUCAGUACAACAUUGUUUUUCCUGGUGAGCCCCAGGAAGGACCUGGGUAUCCCUCUGACCCCAUCCCACAGGCAGUGUCUGGGCUCCAGCUCUCCUUGGUCUUUACUUUUUUGGCUGACAGGAAUGUGCUGGGUAUCUGCCUGAACCCCAGGGUGAAGCCCUUGAGCUUUUAAAGACUUCAGUAUUUUGAAGUUAAAACUACAAACAUCUACUUUACCCUACCCUGUUGCCUUGAUGAAGUCUCCCACCUCUUGGCCAUUGUGAAGAUUGCUCAGUGGCUACGUGUUUCUGUGACAUGGCCAUACCUGGCAUGGACAGUCAAAUAUUAUGGGAGUGUGUCAUUAGCCUAUGUGCCGGGUUAUUUUUGAGAGUUACAAAUGACUCUGUCAUGUGUUAAUGCUUGAGAAUUUAAAACACUUGAAAAUACUACAGAAACCAAAGGGAGAAACUAUUUAAUCCUACAAUGAAAUGCAGAUUUAUUGAAGUGGGACAGAGCCCCCCACUCCACGGAAGCAGCAAGAAACUCCAUCAAACCUGGGUGAAGCUGCCAGGCAGUGAGAAGUGCCAUGUCCAGGUGUUAUCACUGGGAUGAGAUUUUGGGGUACUUCGUAAAAAAAAAAAAACAACAAAAAAAACCAAACCAGCCAUGGCCAUGGGGUGGCCAAAGAGGGUUAGGGGAUGGAUGCAAAAGGGCUGGAGGGGGGAGCUCUGGACAGGAGCUGGCUUUGCCUGCAGACACCUGCAGGUGAUUCCAGGCUACAGGGUUGUGCCAAGGUUUUUGCCGCAAGUUUAGCGCUCCACAGCUGCCAGGGGAGCGGAGCAUUUCCAGAGCAGUGGUGUUUUUGGGAAGACCCCAGGAGGGGACAGGCUGGAGCGGGUGUUAAGCCGACACAAGUCGGGAUCAA